GGUCCCAUCGUCUAGUGGUUAGGACACCAGGUUUUCAUCCUGGCAACAGGGGUUCGACUCCCCUUGGGAUCACCA
rnacentral:tRNA from 1 species